GGGUUGCGGACAGUGUCUGGUGGGUAGUUUGACUGGGGCGGUCUCCUCCUAAAGAGUAACGGAGGAGCACGAAGGUCAGCUAAUCCUGGUCGGACAUCAGGAGGUUAGUGCAAUGGCAUAAGCUGGCUUGACUGCGAGCGUGACGGCGCGAGCAGGUGCGAAAGCAGGUCAUAGUGAUCCGGUGGUUCUGAAUGGAAGGGCCAUCGCUCAACGGAUAAAAGGUACUCCGGGGAUAACAGGCUGAUACCGCCCAAGAGUUCAUAUCGACGGCGGUGUUUGGCACCUCGAUGUCGGCUCAUCACAUCCUGGGGCUGAAGUAGGUCCCAAGGGUAUGGCUGUUCGCCAUUUAAAGUGGUACGCGAGCUGGGUUUAGAACGUCGUGAGACAGUUCGGUCCCUAUCUGCCGUGGGCGCUGGAGAAUUGAGGGGGGCUGCUCCUAGUACGAGAGGACCGGAGUGGACGCAUCACUGGUGUUCGGGUUGUCAUGCCAAUGGCAUUGCCCGGUAGCUAAAUGCGGAAGAGAUAAGUGCUGAAAGCAUCUAAGCACGAAACUUGCCCCGAGAUGAGUUCUCCCUGACUCCUUGAGAGUCCUGAAGGAACGUUGAAGACGACGACGUUGAUAGGCCGGGUGUGUAAGCGCAGCGAUGCGUUGAGCUAACCGGUACUAAUGAACCGUGAGGCUUAACCUUACAACGCCGAAG
rnacentral:rRNA from 4 species